rnacentral:rRNA from 1 species
CACGUAGGGGGCAAGCGUUGUCCGGAAUUAUUGGGCGUAAAGAGCUCGUAGGCGGUUUGUCGCGUCGAAUGUGAAAACCCGGGGCUCAACCCCGGGCCUGCAUUCGAUACGGGCAGACUAGAGUUCGGUAGGGGAGUCUGGAAUUCCUGGUGUAGCGGUGAAAUGCGCAGAUAUCAGGAGGAACACCGGUGGCGAAGGCGGGACUCUGGGCCGAUACUGACGCUGAGGAGCGAAAGCGUGGGGAGCGAACAGG